GGAGUGUGAUGAUUGCUGCAUUCGAAGGGAGAGAAGAAGGGCACUUUGUAUCUGAAUUACAACAGGAAAUGCUGGAGGUUCCGGCAAGGGUCCAAUGGGAUGCUAGGAACAUUGAAGACAAAUUUGGACCAUGCUAUAAUUUUGGCUUGGGCUAUUGGAAAUACUGAAGACAAGCUUUAACCAUGCCAUAAUUCUGGCUAGAGACAACCUGAUAGAUGCUUAGCCCAAGGGUUAUAGGACCAGGAUGUACAGCUUCACUUUAAAACAACUUCUUUCACGUAUCCUGCAUCCAUCUAUUCUAAUCCAACUCCACCUUGGAUCACGACUUUGUCCUCAACCUUCAGGAAAGUUUGAUGGAAUUCUUUCCUUCUCAGUGG